CUUCCAUUUACUGUAUGUCACUUUCCUUUUUCUGUCCAUAAAUCAUCUUCCACUAUGUCGCUGUGCUGGAGUCCCAGUGCCUGCUCUAGCUCAGGAGGCUGCCUAAUUCGUGAAUCAUCCAUUGCGCAAUUAAACUUCUUUAAAUUUAAUUUGGCUGAAGUUUUUCUUUUAACAGUUGGCAUCAGAAGUGAGAUCCAAAGUAGAGCUUCUAACGACCUCCAGGAGCGCUGAGUGACCAAGCAAUGUACUCAACCACCUGUUGUGCCCAUCGCUCGAGAUCUCAGAGCAGCUGGGGAUUGUGGUUUAGGCACGUACAGGACCAUGGAACAUGGGGAACUUUUGCUCCCCAAACGGGGAAACAUGAGAGCCAAUGGGACUGCUGAAAAUGAUCCCUUUGUGACCAACAAGCAGCUACCUGAAUUUUUGUCAACUGGAUAGCUUUUCUCCAUUUUGUCUUCUUGCCACUCUUGAUGCACACAUGCGAGGAAAUAAAAUAACUUCUAACAGCUCGUUACUCCAAUAAAAUAACUUACCAGGUUUUUUUUACCACAAAUAGAAAUUGCUAAGAGUUAACAUUGUAACAUGAAAUCAAGACUACUGAAAAAACAGUUUUACAUGCAACGUAUGUGAAGAAAGUGAAAUGUGCUUUUAGUAAAAGAUCAUAAGAAGGCCCUGGAAUGUAAAUUUUUGCCUAGUAAGAUAGAAUAAAGCUAAAUGUUUGAGCAAGUUGUUGAAGGUUUGUAAAAAAUUAAUCUUGUAAAAAGAAAUUCUGUGAAUGACAAUAUUGGCUAUUUAAAGGAGUAACAUUUGGUUUUUCCAUAAAUUGAACAUUGGAAUAAAAGCACAACAGGGGCAGAAGUCCUGGUGACUCAAGCCGGAAAUCCAAGCACUUUAGGAGGCCCAGGUGGGUGGAUCACUUGAGGUCAGAAGUUUGAGACUAGCCUGGCCAACAUGGUGAAACCCCGUCUCUACUAAAAACACAAAAAUUAACUGGGCAUGGUGACGCAUGACUGUAAUCCCAGUUACUUGGGAGGCUGCGGCAGGAGAGUCACUUGAACCCAGGAGACAGAGGUUGUAUUUAGCCAAGAUUGUGCCAGUGCACUCCAGCCUGGGUGGCAGAGGGAGACUGUCUAAAAACAACAACAACAACAACAAAGAACAACAGGAUUUUCUCAGAGCACUAAUCUACUCUUUAACAAAAAUUUGUAAAGGGUUAUAAAAAGGUUUAUGAGAGUCUCACCUUAUAAUCAAAGUGAUUAAGAUUGAACAGAUUUGUAUAUAAGGUUUUAUUAAAAAUUGGGGUUGACAAUAGUAUACUAAUACAAGGAUGAAAUUUGGCUUUCUGUCUUGAAUAAGAUUUUCAUGUAAUACUAAAAAUAAUAAAAGAUUUUGUUUGCCUUUUGAGUAAACUACAGGAAAAAAAUGGAAAAACAAGAGACAGAUUAUCUGAAAAUCUAAGUCUUCCAUUUAUCAAUGAGUAAAGGUUUUUGCCUUUUUAAAAUCUUUGAGUCAUCAUUUUGGCUAAAUAAAUGACUUUUGGUGACCUGGAAUUCUCAAGUGUUUU
rnacentral:lncRNA from 1 species